UAUUCAUCCUAGGGGUGCUUAUCUUUGAGCUGAGAGAGACGUGUGUCUUAACCCUGAUUGACCUGAUCUGGAUCAUGCCAGCGGAGGGAAGCGGUGAAAAAAAGCG
rnacentral:ncRNA from 2 species